AGAUGCUAUUCUUGAUGAUGACUUCUAUAUAAGCAAUAAUUUCAAAACAGAAAAUAGCUUAUUUUGGAAGCAAAAAGAUUCGAAGGGAUGUUGGAAUCAACUUUAUUCCCCAAUUAAUAUUGGUGCUGUUCGUUUGCCUGCGGCUGUGGCGAACGCAGAUAAUGAUGUUCGUUUCGUUGCCGCCGGUACCUGCGGCAGAACGCUGCGUCAAACGCGAGUCAAUUGCUUUUAAAAUUUCGAUCGCCGAUUUUAUCCAGCGUCUGAUGCUUAAAAGUUGCGCCUCUUCUUCGUCGCGUCCAAAUCUCUCUCUCGACGACGAAGCUUGAUUCAAAUCUCUCUCUCGACGACGAAGCUGGUUAAAUCUCUCUCUCUCACUCUCUCUUUCUCUGUUUGGUCUGUGAGUGAAUCGAUCUGUUUUUGAUUUGAGCUCAUCGAAGAUUUGAUUAUGGGUAGUUCUAGAUCAGUGAGUGAAUCGAUCUGUGUUGUGGGCUGGUUAACUGCAAAAAUUAGAGAUGUUUUUGGUAUAAAUUCAUAUAUCUCGACCUCUCAGUUUUUUCUGUGAGCUGGUUAACUGAUACAGAACCACACGUGUGGCUCCGCACGUGAGAAGCUAAAGAAUAAUAAGGACGAAUAAGAGGGUGACGCGUGGCAAGCAGAGUGAGGCUGGCGAGAAAUGGCCGUCGCGAGCAGCCUAUUUCAUCAUGCCUUUGUCAUUUUUUUUGUCAAUUUAUCGAUCAAAUUGUAAACUCUUUGGAGAUUCUGGAUUUGAAAGUGCUAGGGUUCUCUCAUCUUGAGAGCUAGCCUCGAUUGGGUGUUUUUCAUGAACAUUGAAUCGAUUUAUCUUGGUUUUGGUGUUGAUUUGUGUUGAUUGUUUUGUGAUUCUUGUGAUUUGGAGUUUGUCUGUAACAUUAACUUCGACGAACACAAACUUUGCUUUGCAAUUUAAUUGCUGGGCCCAUAUGUAAAUGUGUGUUCGUACUGCAAUGGUGAUGGUUCAGCUGUUUCUAUGUCACUUCCUACUUCAGGUAAUCAUUUUGUAUCAUCUCUGUUAAAGGCAUUGAUCUGUUUUGUUUCUAUUUUUGCAGGCCGCUGGUGCUUUGUCCAUUAAAAUUGUUGGCUGAGGUCAAGAAACAAGCUUCAGUUCUUGAAUCAUAUCUUGAACAGAGGGGAGUUAAACAAUCAGUUAAAACGGAAGUCUUUUGAGAGAGAAAAUGGCUAAAAAGAUUAAAUUUUUGCAGCAUAGGACUAGAAGGAACCUUGAUGAUUAUUAGUGUUUUUAAGCUUAAUAAGAUUAUAUUUUUAUUUUAAACUCUCUGUUUUUCUGUUUUGAAUUACGGGAAAGUAUUUGUUUGAGAUAUUUAUAAUCUGUUUAAUCAAGUUCUGUUUAUAUA